GAAUGCACAGCAUGAACCUUGUGUCAUUAGGAAGAUCACCGCUUGUCCUUUGCUUCCACAGACAGUUUUGCUCUUCCACAGAACAUUUCUUACUCAAAGAAAUGAGUGAAGUUUCCUGUCUCCUUUGAGAAAGAAGAGAAGGUGGGACCUCUGGCAGAUUCUUUAGAACUCCUAGCUCUCCGGUUUUUACACUGAAGCAAGCAUUUUAGAUGCAAUAACAAAAGCGUAUUUAAUUUUGUUACAGCUUCACCCUUUAUUUCAAUACUUUGGAUGGCAGCUGAUGGCAAAGCCACGGUU